rnacentral:lncRNA from 8 species
AUCAAAUUGACCUAGGCUGGACAAGCCAAGCUUGGACUAGCCUUGAUCAAAUUGGCAUACAUUUACAUUUUAGUAGAGCAAACGAUCUAGCCCAGCCAUUCUAGAUGAAAAAUAAGGACCUAAGUGGAGCUACUCUGAGGCCCUGUCCAGAAACAGCCUUGGCACUUGUGUACAGUACUGUAUAUCAUUUUAUACUGUAUAAAAUGAUUAGAUAGGUACUGUAUGUGAGCAAUAUGGUUGGAGCUCAACUUUAACUUCUAAUAGGCUGGAAUGUUCACCCUAUCGCUGAAACCCAUCAAAUCCUUUCAGAUCUUCACAAGUGUACAGAGGUUAAGGGUUGAUUUUGGACAGGGCCUAAAACAUUUCUAUGCAGCCAAUGAGAGCAGAGCAGCGUGCCACCAAGUCCAACAUGCAAAACCGCUUACUGGCUACGGUGCUACACACUGGAGAACCAGUGAUGGCCGUGGCGUUUCAGCCACAAAAUUGUUGCCCCUCUCUCCCGUUGGCUCUCUGAAAACUGUCGACUGCAUGCUCCAACUUGGUCUGGAGGACCCUCUUUGAAGCCAUAGCGACAAACGAUCAAGUUUUAUUUGUUUUGUGCUAUUUAUUAGAUGACGAUAGAGUAGGCCUAUAUUUAUGUCAUGUAUAGUGUCCGUUGCCGAUGUCCCCUCGCUUUAGGAUUUUCCAAACAGUUUCACUCUGGGAGUAGGCCUACACUGUCAGAUUUCCCUUGUCCAGUAUUAGUCUAUCACCUUUUGUCAAGGAUACUGUUUUAUUUGUGUUGUGCUUUCUGCUAAGGUACUUUUCAACUAACACUUUCAUUGAAACCCGGUAUUAAAUCCCAAAAGAGCAAACCUAGCUAGGUAGAGCCUCCACUGGCCGGCACUCAAUGUCUGUCUGUCUGUCUGUCUGUCUGUCUGUCUGUCUGUCUGUCUGUCUGUCUGUCUGUCUGUCUGUCUGUCUGUCUGUCUGUCUGUCUGUCUGUCUGUCUGUCUGUCUGUCUGUCUCUGUCUCUGUCUCUGUCUCUGUCUCUGUCUCUGUGUUUUCUAAAGCCUUGUUGAUGUUGGCCAACCUAAAUAAACAGGUUUGGUUUGCUAGGUUGCAGCCGGGAUCCACCGCAUUCACGGUAAAUGCUGCAUACUGUAUGUCGGCUCAAUCGGAAAGGACUUUCAACCACAGACCCAUCAGACAACACAUUAUUAGUAAUUCUGUGUGGCUCAGGCAACGGCAUGGUCAUGUGUUCAAUUCUCGCAGGGAACACAUACACGUACUAAAGAAUGUAUGCACUCACUGUACUUCAAGUCGCUCUGGAUAA